UGUAAAGCUGAGGCUAGUCUC
rnacentral:piRNA from 1 species